rnacentral:rRNA from 1 species
GUCCACGCCGUAAACGAUGAAUACUAGGUGUAGGAGGUAUCGACUCCUCCUGUGCCGCAGCUAACGCAAUAAGUAUUCCACCUGGGGAGUACGGCCGCAAAGGUUGAAACUCAAAGGAAUUGACGGGGGCCCGCACAAGCAGUGGAGUAUGUGGUUUAAUUCGACGCAACGCGAAGAACCUUACCAGGGCUUGACAUCCUCUGACCGCUAUAGAGAUAUAGUUUCCCUUCGGGGACAGAGAGACAGGUGGUGCAUGGUUGUCGU